GUGCUGGGGAGGUGGAGGUGUUUGGGAUUGCUGUCCUGCUGAGAAACACAACAGAGGAACACACUGUAAGCUCCUGUAGGGCCGUGCAUUGCUCCCUGGUCUUCCUGCAUCAGGUACAAGUCUGUAUUUUGUCUGGGGUUAAUCACUAUCUGCGAGUCAGUUUUGUGCAUUGUGGCAUUGCCACUGUGCUUUGUCUGAGGGGAACCCUCCCUCUGCCUGUUAAAUUUUCCAUCCGAAGCUGGAGAGUACACUGCAGCUGGAAAAAAAAAAACACUAAAUGUGGAGCUGCUAAUACGAAGCUAGAGCAGCAAUUUGGUUCGCUAGUACACAGUGCCUUAUUGCAUAGGCCUUUUCCACCCUUCAAGGCACUUUUUUGCCAGUCUAAAGGCAGCUCUGCUAAGGGGCUUGAGUUUUCAUUGCCUUCUGCUGAAAAUAGAACUGGUGUUUGAAAAUUUGACUAUUGAAAAUUUUGAAAUGAUAAAUGGGAGCUGGACAGCAUCUCCACCAGAACAGUGCUUCCAGCUGGCUGUGUCCAUGCAUGAAGAGGUGGGAAUGUAUUCAGAAGAUUUCACUGAAGUGACACCAGUGAUGGUCCCAGUGUGUUCAGACUGCUCUUGCCCAGACCAUGGUGCUGGUGGGUGUCAGGCAAAGCAAGCAGCCCAGCCAAGAGUUUACUUUUCCACUCUUGCAGAAUACAGCCUAAGUUCUUUGGUUACCUAAACUGAUAAAUCUGAAACAACUUAUCUGAGGUCAAUGAAGCUCAGCUGGAAUGCCACCAGUGGAGGCAGGAGCAUACCAAUUCUUUCCCCAGUGCAUUUUGUCCUCCCUUGUGCUGGGAGCCCAGUUUGGGAUAUUCUGUCCUCCAGCUCCGCUGACUGACAUGCAGAAGACCAUGCUGGUCAAUCAGGCAGACUGCAGUUAGUGGCAGAGAUUUACAGUUCCUCUUAAUCUCCCCCCCACAUGGCUCAAAUGCGCUCGAUGGCAGCUCUGGGAGAGCUGCUGCAGCCCCUCAGCUUUAAAGAUGUGGGUCUGUUGGCUGAAAACAGCUGAAUCAGAACUGAAACAUCUCACCAGGAACAAGGAUUGCUUGACAAGGUCAGGGGUGGCAAAAUACUCCUUGUGGUGUUUAUUUUUUUUUUGCCUGAGGUGCCUCCCUUUUGCUGUCAACAUAAUAUAUCAUCUGUCCGGCAGUAAUAGCAGUGGAAGGGGAUUAUUGACAGCUUCCCUGCUUCUUUAUUCCUACCCUCUCGUCACAGCCACCGGCACAGCAUGGGAAAAGACAGUACAUGAAGUUCCUUUGCUGUCUCUUCGCUAAAUUAACCUCCACAGGGAUGGGGAUUGCCCUGAGGAGAAAGGGGAUUAGCCCUUACAUCUCUUUGAUCCUGCGGGAGUCCUGAGCCUCCUCCGGAGGCCUUCUUCACCUGUGGUGUGUGGAGAGGUGUUGGUGGGCUCCUUACAGGGCUCUGGAAAGGAAAGUGAACUCCUGCACCCCGGGAGGUGGCCAGGGCUCAGGCUGGGGCCUGAGAACCGCAGCACUGGCAGCAG